GAUCCUGGCUCAGGAUGAACGCUGGCGGCGUGCCUAACACAUGCAAGUCGAACGGAACUAUUUUGGAAACUCCUUCGGGAGCGGAAUCUUUAGUUUAGUGGCGGACGGGUGAGUAACGCGUGAGCAAUCUGCCUUUAAGAGGGGGAUAACAGUCGGAAACGGCUGCUAAUACCGCAUAAAGCAUCAAAUUCGCAUGUUUUUGAUGCCAAAGGAGCAAUCCGCUUUUAGAUGAGCUCGCGU
rnacentral:rRNA from 1 species